rnacentral:rRNA from 1 species
CGGGGUUAGUGGCGGACGGGUGAGUAACACGUGGGAACGUGCCUUUAGGUUCGGAAUAGCUCCUGGAAACGGGUGGUAAUGCCGAAUGUGCCCUUCGGGGGAAAGAUUUAUCGCCUUUAGAGCGGCCCGCGUCUGAUUAGCUUGUUGGUGGGGUAAUGGCCCACCAAGGCUACGAUCAGUAGCUGGUCUGAGAGGAUGACCAGCCACAUUGGGACUGAGACACGGCCCACACUCCUACGGGAGGCAGCAGUGGGGAAUCUUGCGCAAUGGGCGAGAGCCUGACGCAGCCAUGCCGCGUGUAUGAUGAAGGUCUUACGAUUGUAAAAUACUUUCACCGGUGAAGAUAAUGACUGUAGCCGGAGAAGAAGCCCCGGCUAACUUCGUGCCAGCAGCCGCGGUAAUACGAAGGGGGCUAGCGUUGCUCGGAAUUACUGGGCGUAAAGGGAGCGUACGCGGACAUUUAAGUCAGGGGUGAAAUCCCGGAGCUCAACUCCGGAACUGCCCUUGAUACUGGGUGUCUUGAGUGUGAGAGAGGUAUGUGGAACUCCGAGUGUAGAGGUGAAAUUCUUAGAUAUUCGGAAGAACACCAGUGGCGAAGGCGACAUACUGGCUCAUUACUGACGCUGAGGCUCGAAAGCGUGGGGAGCAAACAGGAUUAGAUACCCUGGUAGUCCACGCCGUAAACGAUGAUUGCUAGUUGUCAGGGAGUUUACUUCUCGGUGACGCAGCUAACGCAGUAAGCUAUCCGCCUGGGGAAUACGGGCGCAAGAAUAAAACUCCAAAGAAAUGGUGGGGGGCCCGACAAAUCGGGGGAACAAGGUGGUUUAUUUCAUAGACACGCCGCAGAACCCUUACCUACUUUUUAACUUGCCCGGAAUCGCCCAAAAAGACCGGGCUUUCCUUUCGGGGACUGGGACAAAAGUGCUGCCAGGCUGUCGUCCACUCAUGUCCGGAAAUGUUGGGUUAAGUCCACGCACUAUCCCACUCCUCCCCCUUAGUUGCCAUCAUUCAGUUGGGACUUCAAAGGGUACUGCCGGUGCUAAGUCUGAAGUACGUGGG